AUCCAGUGAUGAGUCUCAAAUAGGACGAAAUGCGCAUCCUGAAU
rnacentral:hammerhead_ribozyme from 1 species